rnacentral:lncRNA from 1 species
UUUUCAAAGUGCUCUGACAAAGUUAAAACACGUGAAUCUUGCAGCUUCCACUACAUUGCUAUGACCGAGAAGGGUAAAUGAACAGCGUUACCACUCGCUAUUGGGACAAUUCUUAUAUAUGUCGACCUUCAUCCUCUACAGCCAGGCAGACCUACAAAUAAAUAAAAAAUGCUCAACUUUUUUUCACAUCCGAGAGGGCACUCUCAGCAGAGUCUCUCGAAAUACUCAGCUUCUUUUCCCCCC